CCUGGAACAGACCAGCGCCUUGAAGCUGCUGCGCGCACGUUUCCGGAUUCGAUCCUGUCCAUCUUUACAAGCCACGCCCCCUGUGUUUCCUUCAAGGCUUCCGUCAGACGUGACUGCGAAUCAGUUAACACAACAGUCUGUACUAUAAGUCUGCACGCUCCAUGCCUUUGAAUGAUCAUCCAGUGAUCAUUCAUGACUGUUGGCCUGGAAAUGGAGCUGAGAAUUAACUAGUAACGGCUGGAUAGGAUCCAAAGAAGAGGUCAUUUACCAGCUGGAGCCAAGGACUGAUGUGGAGCAUGUGAAGUCGUUGCCUUGCAUGAACUAGGAACUGGUUAGAAGGGCGGACUCUCACGUUGUCCCAUCUUUGGUCGACUGAACCAGAUUCUACAUCUUAAGGCCGCUCCAAGGUGCUUCUAUGCAAAUUAAAGUAUGCGAUCUCACCUCUGUUUUGUGCAGAAGGGCAGAAAAAGAAAAACUCGGAGAGAUAGGAAAACCUUGCAUACUCAUGGACUUCACUGGGCUCUGCCCGUUGACUCACUUUCACAUCUGGCGUUUGUCUGUGUCCAAGUCUCGUCAGGGUUGCACGUGAUGAUGCCGUUGCCUUUGAGCAGGAAGCCUUCUCUGCACUUGAUAGAUACAUUCUGGUUGACGUAAAACUCUCUCUCAGAAAGGAGGGCAUUCUCAGGAAUCACAAAAGGAACAGGGCAUGGAUUUGCUGUAAAAGAUGAGUCAGAUGUUUACUGAGCUGUCUUCUCAUUCUCUAAUUUAUCUCUUUGAAGACAAAGUAGAGGCCUACAGAGCAUGGGUCUUCAAUGACAAUAAUAAUAUAAAUUUUAAGACGAAAAUGGAGUACUCUGGCCUCAAACUCCUGCCCUCCUGACUCAGUCCCACCACGCCCAGCAAAGGGUUUCACGAUUUAGAACUUCAGGCAUCAGCCCAGAUUUGCUUUCCACCCACAUAAAAUUAUUUGUGAAGAUUAAAUAUCAGGCAUAUAAGAAACCAAGGGCCACACUGUCUCUCAAUAUUUGAUGAGUGUCAACAGCAUGGUGAAUUCUGUUGAACUCCAUCCUCUUACUGAACAUGCUUCAGGGAGGACGGGAGUAGAGAAGCAUCAGACCUGGCCGUGCAGGGUGAGCCUGACUUCAGGCCUGCACUGUGAGGAACAGAAUGACAGGACCUCAUGCUGUAUUUGUGGGCCUGAUGGUAAAAACAGGAUGUUUCCACAGCUUAGAAGGAAGCACAGGACGUGUCGCUAGGGCUCGACUUUGCUCAGAGCAAAAGUAUGCCACACAUACGGACACAGGCUUCAAGCUAUUUCGGUUGUUCUGAUUUUAAGUGGAAAGUAAGUUUUGCUGAGGUAGGGCUCUUCUGAAUUCUGAAGGCUGUGUUCACGCACUACAGUACUUUACACACUAGUCAGAAGCCUUCUCACGCUGUAUUCCAUUUGUAUGGUUUUCAUUCAAGUGGUCAAAUUAUCCUUAUUUACCGCAUUUAUAUGUUAUAUAUUAACAUUAGAUUUUAACCGUAUCUUCUUUCUUUCUCCCCCUUUCUUCGUGUCACUGGAACUCACAAUAUCUUCGUUUCAAAAUGCUUUCAUUAAUUUGUAAUUUCUAUUAAUGCUUGAAUUUAAUCAGCAGAGGAAUCUGAUAAAAGCUGACUCGUAGACAGGCUGUUAUAAUAUAUCGUAAGUAGAGUUCUAAAAUAUCCCAUAAAGUUGGGUCUGAUGGCCACAGACGGCCUUCCCGGGACUGAUCUCAUUUAUCAGUAUUUCCCCUUCAAGCAGAGAUAUGUAUGAAACUAGCUGUGGGGCAGAAUGUGAUUAAAACACCCCCUAAAGUCAACACACACGUUUGCAGAGGGGAGCCAGGUGACUCCAGGUUCCAUUUGCAGUGCAGUGUGCCUCAGGGGGCCCUUCCAGGGUGUAGCCUCUGUGACAGGAAAACAGCAGGCUGGGUCCAGAUGUGGUGUUUUCCAAGACAGCCUUCCCAUUGGGAAACUCAGCCGGAGCCUCACAUCUGCUCUCUAAAAGGAAGAAAAGGAAGAAUGCAGUCUGUAUUAAAUACUUUCCCAAAUCCCUUUGGCUUCUCCUGUUAUAUUUGCUUUUUGAAAGUACUCUGUGUGUGUGUGUGUGUGUGUGUGUGUAGUACUCAUAUAUAUAUAUAUAUAUUUAUAUAUUCACCAAACACACACACAUAUAUAUAUAUAUCCAUAUAAACAUAUAUGUCUACUUAUGAAUGAAACACAAUAACAUUCAUUGAUACAGAGAAAACAUACUGCAUGUAUCUGUUGAAUUACCACACGCUCACGGUGAAGAUUGCUAUUUAGUCCUGCGUAGUUCAUCUGUCUUUAUGUAUUUUGCUAAGAGGGGUGGAUGUUGUGGGGUAGUUUAGAUGAACACGUGCAUCAAAUAAAGGAAUCUCAUGGCCGUGAA